GAUGAACGCUGGCGGCGUGCCUAAUACAUGCAAGUCGAGCGAACAGACGAGGAGCUUGCUCCUCUGACGUUAGCGGCGGACGGGUGAGUAACACGUGGAUAACCUACCUAUAAGACUGGGAUAACUUCGGGAAACCGGAGCUAAUACCGGAUAAUAUCUUGAACCGCAUGGUUCAAUAGUGAAAGACGGUUUUGCUGUCACUUAUAGAUGGAUCCGCGCCGCAUUAGCUAGUUGGUAAGUUAACGGCUUACCAAGGCUACGAUGCGUAGCCGACCUGAUAGGGGGAUCGGCCACACUGGAACUGGGACACGGACCAGACUCCUACGGGAGGCAGCAGUAGGGAAUCUUCCGCAAUGGGCGAAAGCCUGACGGAGCAACGCCGAGUGAGUGAUGAAGGUCUUCGGAUCGUAAAACUCUGUUAUUAGGGAAGAACAAAUGUGUAAGGAAAUAUGCACGUCUUGACGGUACCUAAUCAGAAAGCCACAGCUAACUACGUG
rnacentral:rRNA from 1 species